CCCCCCCCCCCCCGAAAUCCAGGGAUUUAGGGAUUUUUCUGGCAGAGAAGGGCCAGCUUUAAGAAAUUAUGAGUUGGGGCUGGAGCUUGGUAGCAUUGACAGUUUGGUAUAAAAAGCUCUGUGUUGCAGGCUGCGAUGACAGGCAAUGAUAAAUCACUCUUGGCUGGUGCUACAGGUUCCAAUAAUGGUGUUUUAAAAAGAUUACAUGGGUUUUAAUGCAAACUUUUUGCGUCUUUGUACUGUCCUUUAUGGGCUCCCUUUCUAAAGAGCGGAGCCUGUUUUGAUUCAGCAUUCUUGGAAUCUAAAGAUGGAGCCAGGGUUUUACUGGGCUGAAACACUGUUUUUUGCUUUUCCUACAAACACGAGGAUCUUGUUGGAGUGUCUUUUUAGCCAGCUGGCUACCAGGAGCCGUUUCACAAAGGUGCCUGUUUUUGUUUUGAAGGUAACUUUGCCUCAUGGAGGAUGAAAGAGCAAGAGGCUUUGCCCAGCUCCAGUGGGUGCUGUUAUAAAGAAGUUUCCCCGUGACAGGGAGAGGCUUUGCGUGAUAGCAGUGAGGGGGGAAAAACAACCUCGUGCACAUACCCUUCGUUUCCUUGGCCUGUUCCCAUGGGAGGACUGGGCAUUUGUAUGAUCAAAGGAACCAUAACAAUCAAAGGCCUGGUGGAAAAUAAUGUACCCUUGCCAGGUACCUUGUGGGUACCUGGGGCUGGGCAGGGUUUGCCUUUGCUCCAAGAUGUGUGGGGUGGCUGUUUUGUUGUUUGUUUUUUUUUUAAUUAUUAUUAUUCCCACUGAGGAUUGCAGGAGGAAAAUGGACCAUUUCUGGGGCCUGCCCUUCAUUGUGGCAUGGGAACAGCAGCAUCUGUCUGUGGGAUGCUGAUGAUCAGGGGGUGCUGGGGUGGCCCAGCUGUGCCAGGGCGAAGGCAGGCUCUUGCAGUGUGGUGACAGCUGUGCAGUGAUGCUGGGGUAGGAGCAGCUUUAAUUCCCUGGCAGCCCGCUGCAGCAAGGGACAGCCAGCGGCUUGCCCACCCGCCUGGCUGCGGGUUUCUGAGGGCGGCAGGUCUGGGGAGAGGACAAGGUGCCUUUGUCCGUGGUGGCGAUGGUCUCCCGUCAGGGCACAAACCCUGCGCGUAGAUAAGGGGUGGGAGCAGUGCCACCGGUUUUGUUUGGGUUGAAGGAAAACAAGCUGAUUUUUGGCUCCGUUCAGACGUGGAGCUGCGAGUGCCAUAGGACCAUAUGUUUUUCUCCUUGGCGGGGGGGAAAAAAUGGCUUUGAUAGUGUCUGCUAAUGAUUCAGCGCUGUUUACAUAAUAAUUGUGGUUGGCUUUCAUUAGCUCUCGUAAGGAGAUAGCUUUCCUUUAGCGCGGUUGCUUCUCUGUUUUGGUUUCACGCCGUUGUGGCAGCGGGGCGGUGAGGCUGGACUGCGGCCCCUCUGCAGGCACAGCGAUGGGCUCCCUGCUCCUUGCUGCAGAGGAGAGGGGACACGCGCUGCCUGGGCAGCCCCUGGAAGACAGAGGUAAUGGUGCAGAGCAUCAUAGCAUCUCCACAGAGUGGAGUUUACAUCCAGUUUGGGUGAUUUCUCAGUGCAGUGCUUAAUGUUUGCACUAAGAACUCUUGGCGUUACAUAGUGGCAAGGAAGGAAAUCCACUGACCUGCUUCCACCAGGAGGAAAAAGCUGGGACCUUUCACCUAUCGGAAGAACUGAUCUGUACAGCGCGGAUAUUGGUUGUGUGUGUGACGCUCCUGGAUUAGAUGCUGCAGCCUCACCUUGGCUCCUUUAUAACGUUCUCUCCGAACACCCGCCAGAACAGCCGGCCUUUUCAGCAGCCUGAAACCUCCCUUGCCGGGAAGGCUCCCGAGCGGGAGCAGCCCUGCUGGCACGGCGCUGCUCCAGACCGUCGCUGACGCUGCUUGGAAAACCCAGCCUGCGUGCGGGCGAGGAUGCCAGGCACGGCUGGCGCUCCAUGGACAGUGUUUUCCAGGGUUUCCAAAGCCAGAGAUGGGCCUGCUCGCCAGGCAGCGAGCUCAACAGGCAACUGAGAAAUAGCUGUGGCGUGUAAGGGUUAAUUUCUAGGUAUUAAAAUAUGCACAAAAGGUGAAAUGAGACUUCCUCCGUGUCAAUGAAUUACGGCUUUAAAAUAUUUGCAUUCUUUCCUGAAAGAUUUAGGAAUAAUUAUAUAGCACUCAGGGGCAAGGCAUUGCCAGAUAAACUUAACAACUCUAUAAUUUGUACUCGAGGCAGGGUUUCCUGUAAAUGAUAGCUUUGUUUAAUUUUACAAUACUGCUUCCAAAUGUUUGCUGGUUAUGAAUUGCCAACCAAAAUGGACUUGUGAAUCUGGAAGAGUCUUUGUUUGUUUGUUAUUGGAGACAAUAAAAGCUGCUGAAUUAGGCUAAAA